rnacentral:lncRNA from 1 species
CUACAUAUCCCUUCUCCCUCCUUCCCAACCUCUUCCAACUCUUUGAAGUCCUACCACUACAGUCUUGCCCCUCCUUCCCCACCACAGACCCUUUCUCUCUUCUCUAUACACUGGGGUGGGAGUGAGGAAGGAGAAUAAAUACAUCAAGAAAGAGGCUAGCACCAAGUUCCAAAAACCUCCUCUGAAUUUAUGGGAGACAGAAAAGGAGCGAGCAACUUACCCGCCAAAGUAUGCCAAAGCUCAUUUCUGUUUCCUGCUUCAAAUCAAGUUCUUACAUAAAAAAGAGAGGGAGGGAUUAAAAAGAGAGAAAGAGGAAGAGAGGCGAGUCGUUCUUCUGUUCGAUAGAGAAGUGCAAAAGGCAUAUUGCAAAGAGGAGACCAAGUGGCCCAAGUUCAGAAUCUUUCCUUCCAAGAGUCCUCCGAGCUGUUCCAUUCAUUCAGAAGGCAUCUUCCAGGUUUUAAAGCCACCUACUUUUAGAUGUCCCCACAUUAGGAUCUUGAAUGAAGCCCAAAGCUGCAGCCACGAGAUCAAUUAGGAUAUAAGGUAUACUUAACAAGACCUAAUUCAUUUUAAAAAAUGAGGUUUCUAAACCUAAAGCUGUAAGUAAGUGUGAAUUACCAUUAUUAUUACUAUGUUUGUCUUUGAUGAAUACUCUUUUUCUCUUGCUCCAGAGAUUAAGUGAAAGAAUACUGAAUGGGAAUCAGAAGAUCAGUCUCAGCUCUAUGACUGAUAGUUAUACAAUCUUGGGAAAGUCACUUCAACUCAAUUCAGCAAACACUCAUUAACUUCUUUCUAUGUUCAAGGCAUCAGGGAUGGAGAAACUAAGACAAAUGAAAAAGCACCUGCCAUUGAAAACCUUACACUCUACAGAGGAGAUAUGAAAAGAUACACAGCCGAGUAAAUACAAAAUAAUUUAAGAAGGAGUAAAGGACUAACAACUAAAGUGAUCAGAGAAGGCUUACAUUUCUGAGCCUCAGUUUCCUCUUCUAUGAGAUAUGGGAGUUGGACUACAUUCUCUCUGAGGCUGAAUGCCUAACUCAAGACAAAACCUUUAAGAUUCGAACAUCCUUCAAAUAGUUUAUUCUAAGCAGACAGUACCACCCUCUUACAUUUGCAAUAUACUUCUCUUCAAGUCACUUUAAAGCUUCUCCUCUAGAAAUACAAUAAUUAGUAGAAAAUAGAUUUCUUGAAGAAGAAAUUUCCAGUAAUUUAUAGAAAGGCUCAUAUUUUAUCAAAGUAAUAAUAAUAAUAAUAAUAAUUUAUAUAGCUCUUAAGGAGCUAUAUAAAACCUUAAAGCAAGGUUUGCUAAUAUUUACAAAUA